rnacentral:misc_RNA from 1 species
CCAAACUUGGUCAUUUAGAGGAAGUAAAAGUCGUAACAAGGUUUCCGUAGGUGAACCUGCGGAAGGAUCAUUAUUGAAUUCAAAGUGAAGCUGUUGCUGGCUCUCUCGAGGGCACUGUGCACGCUUUGCUACUAUAAUUCAAACCACCUGUGAACUACUUCAAUAGACUUGGGUUGAACGCCUUUAGAUUCGAGUCUAUUGCUACUACACACUACAAAGUCAUUGAAUGUUAAUUGGGUAGUCGGAAUUUAAUACAACUUUCAACAACGGAUCUCUUGGCUCUCGCAUCGAUGAAGAACGCAGC